rnacentral:lncRNA from 1 species
GCGCCUUGACCAGCAUAUGUGUGCAGGCUUAUGAUAAAUAACCGUCUCUAGCUAGCCCUCCCAACACCCACAGAUCCAUACUUACAGCAGCAGCGAGUAACCAACUACGGUCGGAUCGCAGUACCAUGAUGACUGUCAGGGCAAGCAGAACAAUCUUGGUGGUGCUGUACUUCGCUUCUCUACUCCUUGUCUCAUCAUUUGCUGAUGAAACCUCUGAAGCCCAUGGUACAUGAUCGCCAUGCAUACUCUGUCGUCUAAGGCCUUGUUUAGAUACGAAAAGAUUUUGGAUUUUGCUACUGUAGCAUUUUCGUUUGUUUGUGGCAAAUAUUGUUUAAUUAUAAACUAACUAGGAUUAAAAGAUUCAUCUCGCGAUUUACACAUAAACUGUGCAAUUAGUUUUUAUUUUCGUCUAUAUUUAAUGCUUCAUGCAUGUGUUGAAAGAUUUGAUGUGACGGAGAAUCUUGAAAACUUUUUGAUUUUCGGGGUAAACUAAACAAGGCCUAAAUUAUUGUCUUAAAACACACCCGUAGCAAGCGCUUUUAUAUUUAUGAUACCACCAGUGGAUUUAUAGAAAAGCCAUCAUCGUGACUCUCCAUGCAUGCAGAUGAUGCGAGGAAGAAGAUGACAACAGUCCGGGUUCUGGCCGCGCAAGAUCCACCGACAUACGGCCUUCGUCCACCAACUUACGGCGCAGGGAACAGAUCGGCAAUAAUGGCUAGAGGGGUUCUUGUAAUUUUUUUCUGUGUUUUUUCUUUUCUUUUCUAAAAGUCUUUGUGAUACCUCUACUAUAGAGGGAAAGGAGCUCCCUUAUUUCAUGAACUAAGAAAAGCUUACGACGGGCCGCCGUAGUUAUAUACCAGCGCCGGCGGCAGAGGUAACUAAUAAUAAACGAAUAAAAUGAUCCGUAGUCAGCGUGCAUGCUGCUUGUUGUUUCGCAGCACGUCAGUCGUCUAUACCAUUGUACUGGAACCAUGCAAAUGGACUUAUUUGCGGGUCGAGAUCGAUAACAUCGGCUUGUCAAAUCAUGUGGACUAAAAUGAAGUGCCUUAUUUAUAGCUAUAGUAGUAAGUCUGAGUUUUUUUUUGUUUAUCUUCUAUAUAUUUUUUUAGAUAAUGGAUAGUUCAUAUCUGGCUUCAUCUAUCCAUAGAUAGAAUCAGACCAAUUAUUACAAAAUUUUGCCCGAAAGUUCACACACGGACUGCAAAUAUGGGUUUACUGCCAACCAAACAGAUAACCUAAACAAGAAAAGAUUUAGACUAAGACCAACAUGUCUUCAGCUAACAUAUGUCUACUUCAGCUAACAUAUGUCUAGAGCAAGAAAAAGAAGAAAUUCCGUUUCUAGAUUUUAUGCUAGACAUAGAACCUGAUCUCUUUACCGAAUUUGGAAACAUUUUGAAUAUCACUCUGUGAAGAGGCCACAGAGAAACUCUAGAGAGUCUUUUGAUUCCCCUAAUUAAGGAUAUUCCCUCUAGAAGAAUCUCAGGAGGAUUAGUAUCUGUUAUAAGUAAUAAAUGGUUAG